UCUAUAAGAAAAUAAAUCUUCCUUAUGCAUGUCUCUUACGCAAAUCUUACAGGAUUCCUAGAAACACUGCUGAAUACUACUUGCACAACGCCAGUAAUCAUUUGGGAUUCCCUUAGUACAUUGAAAUCAGUAGCAAUCCAAACGAUUCACGCACAGAAUGAAGCUCUGCUGGUGUGUGCCAAUUCGGCAUUGCUGUGGGACGCCAUGUGCACUCACUGGCCGUUACCAUAUAGGAGAGAUAUCUUAUGUACAGGAAGGGAUGGAUCUUUGACCUCCUAGCAAACGUACAUGAGCAACUUAGAAGCAGAAUCAUCAUGGUAUUGUGGUGCAGCUGGCACCUCCGCAAUGAAUUAGAGCACGGUAAAUCUAUUCCUCCCUUGGAGGUUUCGUGCUCCUUCUUGGUCAGCUACUACAAUUCCUACAGCUAGAUUUCCCUGUCAGUGGAAGAAAUCAUCAAGGGUAAAGCCCCGUUAAUGUUGAACCCACCGGGGACUCAAGAGCAACCGCAGCCUAAUACAAUACCAAAGCGGUGGCCAAGACCUCCUGCGGGCGUAUUAGCAUUAUCAGUGGAUGGGUCUUAUAAUGGCUCAGAUGGUUCGGCGGGUUCCGGCAUGAUAUUGAGAGAUGAUAAAGGUGGGGUGAUCUUCGCUGCGUAUCGUAAAAUUUUCAAUUGUAACGAAGCCCUUGAGGCCGAACUACAAGCUAUGGCAGAGGGACUCAAGUUGGCGGCCGAGCACUCUUCGGCUAAUAUUCUUUUGCAGUCGGAUUGCUCCUUAGCACUCAAGGCACUGUCGGAUGACUCCUUGGAUAGGUCCAUGCAUGGUCAUCUGGUUAGAACUGUUAAGGGGUACUUGAAGGAUAGGGUUGUUAUUCCAGUUAAAUUCAUAGAGAGCAAAACAGGGUUGCAGAUUCGUCAGCGAAUUAUGAUAGAUGUGGGAAUAGCACAUCAUGUUGGCUGAGAUGCUCUCUACCGUGUGUCAGCGUGCUUAUCGCUGAGGAUUGUAAACCUGUAACUUUGGAGUAAUAAACCCUAUGUAUCUGCGCAAAAAAAAAAGAAUGAAGCAUCAGCCCAAACAUUUAAUCUCCAGCAACUGCAUCACAAAAGAUGUAUUCUUUCCAAAUAAGAAAAGGCGGGCACACGAUUGAUUCGGCCCACCGGACACUGAUGACAAGGCUAGCAGCACGGGCAUGUGAACAACCUGCAAUAGCAAGAACCGAGACGUUAGCAGAUCGCCCAGGGCACCUCUGGUGGCGACGGCGCGCUCAGCCUAGCCUCCUCCCAUUGAUGGCGCGACGGCUCUCUUCUCCGAGCGGAGCAGCGGCAGCAUUCUCUUCUGAAGAAGAUUAAGACAUUGAGGAGGACUGGGAUAUGACUCAUAGGAGCAAGCGAUAAAAAAGAGAUUAGGAUGAGAAGGUCACCUUCAGUCCCUUGAUCCAUCUGCUACUUGAGGCCCAACG
rnacentral:lncRNA from 1 species